GGCUCUGAGGUGUGUACACAUCGCCCCGUCGCUCUCAUUAUAGAUUAUUCUAUUUUAUUACUUUAAUUUAGCCUCCAUUUAGAUGAGAUAAGUCGUAACAUAGUAGAUGUACUGGAAAGUGUAUCUGGGAAGAGUUUCA
rnacentral:rRNA from 1 species